GCCAACAUGGUGUAGUGGUCUGAAUGUUGGACUAUGAUUCUGGAGACCAGGGUUCAAAUCCCAACUUAGCCA